CGCAUCUGUGCAUGCAGCAUAUCAAUAAGCGGAGGAAAAGAAACUAACAAGGAUUCCCCUAGUAACGGCGAGUGAAGCGGGAAGAGCUCAAAUUUGAAAUCUUAAAGGGUUUCCCUUUACGAAUUGUAGUUUAAAGAAGUGUUUUCUGUUGAGGUUUUGGUAAAAGUUCUUUGGAAUAGGACAUCAUAGAGGGUGAGAAUCCCGUAUUUGACCUUUACUUUCAACUUUGUGAUACACUUUCAAAGAGUCGGAUUGUUUGGGAAUGCAGUCCAAAAUGGGUGGUAAAUUUCAUCUAAAGCUAAAUAUUGGCGAGAGACCGAUAGCGAACAAGUACCGUGAGGGAAAGAUGAAAAGAACUUUGAAAAGAGAGUUAAACAGUACGUGAAAUUGUCAAAAGGGAAGCGUUUGACACCAGUGUUGUUUUUCUGAAAAUCAAUUAAAGAACUGUUUAUGCUAAGCUGUUUAGACUUUAUCAGCUAAUCUGUUUAGUUUUGAGCUUUUCUUUAAUGCACUUUUCAGUUAACAAGUCAACAUCAAUUUCUUUUGCUGUAAAAAAGCUUGAGGAAGGUCGGCUUGAGAUUCGUCUUAAGUGUUUAUAGCCUCUUGCCUAUGCAGUCGGAGAGAUUGAGGUCUGCAGCGUAGAUCCUUCGGGGCUAAAUGCAUUUGUGCUAAGUUAUAAGCAUUUUAUAGACAACUUGUUGACUAUGAUUUGUCUUGUAGCUUACCCGCUUAUGUUAUUUUACCUACGCUUAGGAUGUUGACAGCAGUAUAGACUGUA
rnacentral:rRNA from 1 species